rnacentral:rRNA from 1 species
CCGGAAUUAUUGGGCGUAAAGAGCUCGUAGGCGGUCUGUCGCGUCGGCUGUGAAAACCCAGGGCUCAACCCUGGGCCUGCAUUCGAUACGGGCAGACUAGAGUUCGGUAGGGGAGACUGGAAUUCCUGGUGUAGCGGUGAAAUGCGCAGAUAUCAGGAGGAACACCGGUGGCGAAGGCGGGUCUCUGGGCCGAAACUGACGCUGAGGAGCGAAAGCGUGGGGAGCAAACAGG